CCUCUGAAACUGAUUUGGAGCAUCGAUUGGUUUCUUCAACAUGGAGAGAGAGCACCGAUCGCAGUUGCGACCUGCUGUUGCCUCGCCGUGUUCUUCACGGAAGUUACAGUAUGGCACGUGCCAGCCUUUGGACUGAGCUGAGCCGAGCAAACUGCGGCGCGGUGGCAGACAGGACAGCGUGUAGUGGAUUCUACGUGGCGCGUGUGGUGCCCGCGGCCAAGCACCGGAAGCAGAGCGCACCCGGGCAGCCCCACGCCACGUGUCAGGACUCAGGAGAUGGGAGCGAGGCGACAAGGCUAAAAGCAAACCGAGCUGCGAAUCCCCAGCCCCAGCAUGCUGGUGUUCUCAGGUGGGCCCUCCCCUUUUGACGACGGCCAGUGGCGAGUGCGGCGAGUCCAAAGGCCCAAACGAAAGGCGCAAAGGGCAAGCGCCAAGCGCGGUGGUGGGCGUCGGCGCUGGACCUUGACCGCCGGAAGAAGAAGGAACUUUCGCAGGUUCGUGCCCGCGUCCAGUCAACCGUUCUGUUCUGCUCUCUCCACUCCUCUCCCUCCUCUCGUUCCGCAUCGCAUCAUUGCUUGCGUCGUCGCCGGGCCUCGCAGCUGAGUGCUGAAUUACCUUUUCUUUUUUUUUUAUUCUUCUUCCCUCAGGAGAUGUCGGCCUCGGUUCCUAUCGUGUCCAGCUGGGUACGCGGCGCAGGGGAUGAUGCAUCAUGCAUGCAUGUGCGUGGACGCCACGAGCCUGACGGAUGGGCGAUGGAGUUUGCUAUCGGGAACAAACAAAUCACAUUCCAAGUUAGUACGGCCUCAAUCCUAAAAUUUAAAUUUUAUGGAUCGUAUAAGUUUGCACCGAAAUUGAACUUUAUGAUAUGAAAUGGGUAUAUUUAAGGUAUUGUUUGUUUAAGAUUAUAAUCCACCUAGAUUAUAUAAGUUAAAUUAUGGGUCAUGGUAAUAUGGUGUCACUUGGAAAACUUUUCCCGGUGUGGGUGUGGUUUCAUG
rnacentral:lncRNA from 1 species